CUGACCUAUCAGCUUCCACUAUGGCACGCCGAAAAGAAUUCAUAACAAUCACUAAAACCCUACGCAACAAUAACAUCUCCUACAAGUGGGGUUACCCAACGAAACUUCUGGUAUGGAGACAAGGCAGAACACUGGUUAUAACCGAACCAGCCGAAGGCAUGAAGAUAAUCACCUCCUGGGGUCUUUGGAAUGCAACCACCACAGCUCCACACGCUGCACAAGCAACAGAC